rnacentral:rRNA from 1 species
CUACUCCCUGUGUCGCUUUCCCCUGUUGCGUGUCUCAGAGUGCCUACGGGAGGCAGCAGUGGGGAAUCUUGCACAAUGGGGGAAACCCUGAUGCAGCGACGCCGCGUGAGCGAUGAAGCCCUUCGGGGUGUAAAGCUCUUUCGUCAGGGAAGAUAGUGACGGUACCUGGAGAAGCAGCUGCGGCUAACUACGUGCCAGCAGCCGCGGUC